GGGGCUGUAGUUUAAUCGGUAAAAUACCUGUGGUCGACACUCGGGAGAUGCCGGUUCAAAUCCGGUCGGCUCCA
rfam:Candidatus Peregrinibacteria bacterium RIFCSPLOWO2_01_FTLL_39_12 rifcsplowo2_01_scaffold_29348, whole genome shotgun sequence.